GGGGGCCUCCCCGUCCCGGGGUCACAGCGGUGUGGGGGCCUCCCCGUCCCGGGGUCACAGUGGGGCCGCAUGUGUGGGGGCCUCCCAUCCCAGGAUCACAGCGGUGUGGGGGCCUCCCCGUCCCGGGGUCACAGUGGGGCCGCAGCGGUGUGGGGGCCUCCCCAUCCCAGGAUCACAGCGGUGUGGGGGCCUCCCCAUCCCAGGAUCACAGUGGUGUGGGGGCCUCCCCAUCCCAGGGUCACAGCAGUGUGGGGGCCUCCCCGUCCCAGGAUCACAGCGGUGUGGGGGCCUCCCCGUCCCGGGGUCACAGCAGUGUGGGGGCCUCCCCAUCCCAGGGUCACAGUGGGGCCGCAGUGUGGUGUGGGGGCCUCCCCGUCCCGGAGUCACAGUGGGGCUGCAGCGAUGUGGGGGUCUCCCCGUCCCAGGAUCACAGCGGUGUGGGGGCCUCCCCGUCCCAGGAUCACAGCGGUGUGGGGGCCUCCCCUGGUUCUUGCUCUCAGCUGGGACUCUCACCUUCCCAGCAAGGCCCUGUCCAGAGCCACUCACAGGUGGGUCCAGGAUGUACUGAGAGAAGGCGCGGAAGCAAACGUGGCCGAACGGCGGUAGAGGGUGCCGUCCCGGUGUGUUCAGUGACCAAAGCACCUGACACGGAGCAGCUGACAAACCACAGAACUCACUUCUCAGUUCUGCAGGCUGGGAGUCCAGAAUCAAGACACUGGCAGAUUUGGGGGCUGGUGGGGUCGGAGUCCUCACAGGCAGCGCCUUCUCUCAUGUCCUCAAUGACAGAAAGGGCCCUGGUCAUCAGGGCAGAGCCUCCCUAGGGCCCCACGCCCGACACCACCACCUUGGGGGUUAGGGUCCCCCAUGGAUUCUGGGGGACACAGACAUUUGGACCACAGCAAGUACUCACUGUAUAAUUUUCUCCAUUGUUCUCUAUUGCGAUUUUUUUAAGUUUAAGGUGAGCCCUCAUUGCCCCCACAUUCCAACCAUGCCUGCCCUGUGCGCCCUCUGCCAUGCCAGGCUCAUGCUGAGAAACAAGCACAGCUUUUAUGGUCUGAUUCCUGGGCGGCAUCAGGAAUCCAA
rnacentral:lncRNA from 1 species